AGAGUUUGAUCCUGGCUCAGAAUCAACGCUGGCGGCGUGCCUCAGACAUGCAAGUCGAACGAUUAAAGCUCUCUUCGGAGAGUGUAUAGAGUGGCGCACGGGUGAGUAACACGUAAGUAAUCUACCUUCGAGUGGGGAAUAACGUCCGGAAACGGACGCUAAUACCGCAUAAUGCAGCGGCAUCGUAAGAUGACAGUUGUUAAAGAUUUAUCGCUUGAAGAGGAGCUUGCGGCAGAUUAGCUAGUUGGUAAGGUAAUGGCUUACCAAGGCUACGAUCUGUAACCGGUCUUAGAGGACGGUCGGUCACACUGACACUGAAUAACGGGUCAGACUCCUACGGGAGGCAGCAGUCGGGAAUUUUGGGCAAUGGGCGAAAGCCUGACCCAGCAACGCCGCGUGAAGGAUGAAGUAUUUCGGUAUGUAAACUUCGAAAGAAUAGGAAGAAUAAAUGACGGUACUAUUA
rnacentral:rRNA from 1 species